rnacentral:lncRNA from 1 species
UUGCUGGAAAUACCGAUGUCUGGAUGGACCUGCUUCAAGACCUUAAAGAUGUAGAUCUUAUACGUCUCGGUACUCUUCUUCGACCUCUUCUUUUUCUUGUCUCCGGCCGCCGCGCCACCCUCUUUCGGUAGCUUCUUUCCGGCCUUCGGCUUCUUCUCCGCAGGGGCUUUCUCCGCCACCGUUUUCUUCUCUUCCGCAGGCUUCUUCUCGGCCGGCUUCUUUUCUGCCUUUGGAGCCAUUCCUUACAGCUAGAAAGUUGCGGUUAGCUUCUG